rnacentral:lncRNA from 1 species
UCAAUUGCAGCAGCGGCUCCAAGCGAGGGCGGUGGGCUGCACGUACGUUCAGCAACAAGACGCUGGUGCUGGAUGAGACCACCACAUCCACGGGCAGCGCAGGCAUGUGACUGGUGCUGCGGCGGGGCGUGCUGCGGGACGGCGAGGGAUACACCUUCACGCUGACGGUGCUGGGCCGCUCUGGCAAGGAGGAGGGCUGCGCCUCCAUCCCCCUGUCCCCCAACCGCCCGCCGCUGGGGGGCUCUUGCCGCCUCUUCCCACUGGGCGCUGUGCACGCUCUCACCACCAAGGUGCACUUCGAAUGCAUGGGCUGGCAUGACGCGGAGGAUGCUGGCGCCCCGCUGGUGUACGCCCUGCUGCUGCAGCGCUGUCGCCAGGGCCACUGCGAGGAGUUCUGUGUCUACAAGGGCAGCCUCUCCGGCUACGGAGCCGUGCUGCCCCCGGGUUUCAGGCCACACUUCGAGGUGGGCCUGGCCGUGGUGGUGCAGGACCAGCUGGGAGCCGCUGUGGUCGCCCUCAACAGGU